AUGGUUGUCAUCGAUCUCUUCCCAACCUCGAGCUACCCGCCAUCUGCCCUUCCCUCAGCGAUCGCCGAUCUCUCUCCCUCCAUAGGCAACAGUGCUCCCCUCCAUCAGCGGUGCCCCCUGAAAAUUACCAAUUUGACCCUUAGUCCCAGUGUUAUAUUUGGUUAUUUACUAAAAUCUCCUUUUGGUGGAGAAGGUUGGAUUGUUAGUGUAGAUGAUUUAGAAGAUAUAAUUGGUGGGCAUGUAUGGUUGGGUUUUAUUUAUGUAUCUGGCGGAAUUUAGCAUAUUUUAACCAAACACACACAAAUCAUUUACCUAUAA
rnacentral:rRNA from 1 species